rnacentral:miRNA from 5 species
UCAGUAACUGGAAUCUGUCCCUGC